GCGAACGUAGUUCAGUGUAAGAACACCACCCUUGCCAAGGUGGGGGGUCGCGGGUUUCGAAUCCCGUCGUUCGCU
rnacentral:tRNA from 1 species